UUUAAAGUCUAAUCUGCCCUAUGAGGAGUUAAAUGGCCGCGGUAUUUUGACCGUGCAAAGGUAGCAUAAUAAUUAGUUUUUUAAUUGAAAGCUGGAAUGAAUGAUUGGACGAGAAAAUAACUGUCUCAGUUUAAUUUUUAGAAUUUUAUUUUUAAGUAAAAAAGCUUAAAUUUUUUUAAAAGACGAGAAGACCCUAUAGAGUUUGAUAUUGAUUGGAGUAUAGAUUUUUUGGAUUUUUUAUAUUUAUAUUUAGUUUAAUAUUUUGUUGGGGUGAUGGAAAAAUUAGAUAAACUUUUUUUUAAUAAUAUAAACAUUUAUUUAUGAUUAUUUGAUCCAAUUAGUUUGAUUAUAAGAUUAAAUUACCUUAGGGAUAACAGCGUAAUUUUUUUUUAGAGUUCUUAUCGAAAGAAAAGAUUGCGACCUCGAUGUUGGAUUAAAAUUAAUUUUUGGUGUAGAAGCUAGAAAAUUAGGUCUGUUCGACCUUUAAAAUUUUACA
rnacentral:rRNA from 1 species